GGGUUGUGAGGUUAAGCGACUAAGCGUACACGGUGGAUGCCCUGGCAGUCAGAGGCGAUGAAGGACGUGCUAAUCUGCGAUAAGCGUCGGUAAGGUGAUAUGAACCGUUAUAACCGGCGAUUUCCGAAUGGGGAAACCCAGUGUGUUUCGACACACUAUCAUUAACUGAAUCCAUAGGUUAAUGAGGCGAACCGGGGGAACUGAAACAUCUAAGUACCCCGAGGAAAAGAAAUCAACCGAGAUUCCCCCAGUAGCGGCGAGCGAACGGGGAGCAGCCCAGAGCCUGAAUCAGUGUGUGUGUUAGUGGAAGCGUCUGGAAAGGCGCGCGAUACAGGGUGACAGCCCCGUACACAAAAAUGCACAUGCUGUGAGCUCGAUGAGUAGGGCGGGACACGUGGUAUCCUGUCUGAAUAUGGGGGGACCAUCCUCCAAGGCUAAAUACUCCUGACUGACCGAUAGUGAACCAGUACCGUGAGGGAAAGGCGAAAAGAACCCCGGCGAGGGGAGUGAAAAAGAACCUGAAACCGUGUACGUACAAGCAGUGGGAGCACGCUUAGGCGUGUGACUGCGUACCUUUUGUAUAAUGGGUCAGCGACUUAUAUUCUGUAGCAAGGUUAACCGAAUAGGGGAGCCGAAGGGAAACCGAGUCUUAACUGGGCGUUAAGUUGCAGGGUAUAGACCCGAAACCCGGUGAUCUAGCCAUGGGCAGGUUGAAGGUUGGGUAACACUAACUGGAGGACCGAACCGACUAAUGUUGAAAAAUUAGCGGAUGACUUGUGGCUGGGGGUGAAAGGCCAAUCAAACCGGGAGAUAGCUGGUUCUCCCCGAAAGCUAUUUAGGUAGCGCCUCGUGAAUUCAUCUCCGGGGGUAGAGCACUGUUUCGGCAAGGGGGUCAUCCCGACUUACCAACCCGAUGCAAACUGCGAAUACCGGAGAAUGUUAUCACGGGAGACACACGGCGGGUGCUAACGUCCGUCGUGAAGAGGGAAACAACCCAGACCGCCAGCUAAGGUCCCAAAGUCAUGGUUAAGUGGGAAACGAUGUGGGAAGGCCCAGACAGCCAGGAUGUUGGCUUAGAAGCAGCCAUCAUUUAAAGAAAGCGUAAUAGCUCACUGGUCGAGUCGGCCUGCGCGGAAGAUGUAACGGGGCUAAACCAUGCACCGAAGCUGCGGCAGCGACGCUUAUGCGUUGUUGGGUAGGGGAGCGUUCUGUAAGCCUGCGAAGGUGUGCUGUGAGGCAUGCUGGAGGUAUCAGAAGUGCGAAUGCUGACAUAAGUAACGAUAAAGCGGGUGAAAAGCCCGCUCGCCGGAAGACCAAGGGUUCCUGUCCAACGUUAAUCGGGGCAGGGUGAGUCGACCCCUAAGGCGAGGCCGAAAGGCGUAGUCGAUGGGAAACAGGUUAAUAUUCCUGUACUUGGUGUUACUGCGAAGGGGGGACGGAGAAGGCUAUGUUGGCCGGGCGACGGUUGUCCCGGUUUAAGCGUGUAGGCUGGUUUUCCAGGCAAAUCCGGAAAAUCAAGGCUGAGGCGUGAUGACGAGGCACUACGGUGCUGAAGCAACAAAUGCCCUGCUUCCAGGAAAAGCCUCUAAGCAUCAGGUAACAUCAAAUCGUACCCCAAACCGACACAGGUGGUCAGGUAGAGAAUACCAAGGCGCUUGAGAGAACUCGGGUGAAGGAACUAGGCAAAAUGGUGCCGUAACUUCGGGAGAAGGCACGCUGAUAUGUAGGUGAAGUCCCUUGCGGAUGGAGCUGAAAUCAGUCGAAGAUACCAGCUGGCUGCAACUGUUUAUUAAAAACACAGCACUGUGCAAACACGAAAGUGGACGUAUACGGUGUGACGCCUGCCCGGUGCCGGAAGGUUAAUUGAUGGGGUCAGCGCAAGCGAAGCUCUUGAUCGAAGCCCCGGUAAACGGCGGCCGUAACUAUAACGGUCCUAAGGUAGCGAAAUUCCUUGUCGGGUAAGUUCCGACCUGCACGAAUGGCGUAAUGAUGGCCAGGCUGUCUCCACCCGAGACUCAGUGAAAUUGAACUCGCUGUGAAGAUGCAGUGUACCCGCGGCAAGACGGAAAGACCCCGUGAACCUUUACUAUAGCUUGACACUGAACAUUGAGCCUUGAUGUGUAGGAUAGGUGGGAGGCUUUGAAGUGUGGACGCCAGUCUGCAUGGAGCCGACCUUGAAAUACCACCCUUUAAUGUUUGAUGUUCUAACGUUGACCCGUAAUCCGGGUUGCGGACAGUGUCUGGUGGGUAGUUUGACUGGGGCGGUCUCCUCCUAAAGAGUAACGGAGGAGCACGAAGGUUGGCUAAUCCUGGUCGGACAUCAGGAGGUUAGUGCAAUGGCAUAAGCCAGCUUGACUGCGAGCGUGACGGCGCGAGCAGGUGCGAAAGCAGGUCAUAGUGAUCCGGUGGUUCUGAAUGGAAGGGCCAUCGCUCAACGGAUAAAAGGUACUCCGGGGAUAACAGGCUGAUACCGCCCAAGAGUUCAUAUCGACGGCGGUGUUUGGCACCUCGAUGUCGGCUCAUCACAUCCUGGGGCUGAAGUAGGUCCCAAGGGUAUGGCUGUUCGCCAUUUAAAGUGGUACGCGAGCUGGGUUUAGAACGUCGUGAGACAGUUCGGUCCCUAUCUGCCGUGGGCGCUGGAGAACUGAGGGGGGCUGCUCCUAGUACGAGAGGACCGGAGUGGACGCAUCACUGGUGUUCGGGUUGUCAUGCCAAUGGCACUGCCCGGUAGCUAAAUGCGGAAGAGAUAAGUGCUGAAAGCAUCUAAGCACGAAACUUGCCCCGAGAUGAGUUCUCCCUGACUCCUUGAGAGUCCUGAAGGAACGUUGAAGACGACGACGUUGAUAGGCCGGGUGUGUAAGCGCAGCGAUGCGUUGAGCUAACCGGUACUAAUGAACCGUGAGGCUUAACCUUACAACGCCGAAG
rnacentral:rRNA from 1 species